rnacentral:rRNA from 1 species
UGGGGAAUUUUGGACAAUGGGGGAAACCCUGAUCCAGCCAUCCCGCGUGUGCGAUGAAGGCCUUCGGGUUGUAAAGCACUUUUUGCAGGAAAGAAACGUCAUGGGUUAAUACCCCGUGAAACUGACGGUACCUGCAGAAUAAGCACCGGCUAACCACGUGCCAGCAGCCGCGGAAAUACGUAGGGUGCAAGCGUUAAUCGGAAUUACUGGGCGUAAAGCGUGCGCAGGCGGUUCGGAAAGAAAGAGGUGAAAUCCCAGGGCUCAACUUUGGAACUGCAUUUUUAACUACCGGGCUAGAGUGUGUCAGAGGGAGGUGGAAUUCCGCGUGUAGCAGUGAAAUGCGUAGAUAUGCGGAGGAACACCGAUGGCGAAGGCGGCCUCCUGGGAUAACGCUGACGCUCAUGCACGAAAGCGUGGGGAGCAAACAGG